rnacentral:rRNA from 1 species
GAUGAACGCUGGCGGCGUGCCUAAUACAUGCAAGUCGAGCGAACGGACGAGAAGCUUGCUUCUCUGAUGUUAGCGGCGGACGGGUGAGUAACACGUGGAUAACCUACCUAUAAGACUGGGAUAACUUCGGGAAACCGGAGCUAAUACCGGAUGAUAUUUUGAACCGCAUGGUUCAAAAGUGAAAGACGGUCUUGCUGUCACUUAUAGAUGGAUCCGCGCUGCAUUAGCUAGUUGGUAAGGUAACGGCCUACCAAGGCAACGAUGCAUAGCCGACCUGAGAAGGUGAUCGGCCACACUGGAACUGAGACACGGUCCAGACUCCUACGGGAGGCAGCAGUAGGGAAUCUUCCGCAAUGGGCGAAAGCCUGACGGAGCAACGCCGCGUGAGUGAUGAAGGUCUUCGGAUCGUAAAACUCUGUUAUUAGGGAAGAACAUAUGUGUAAGUAACUGUGCACAUCUUGACGGUACCUAAUCAGAAAGCCACGGCUAACUACGUG